rnacentral:lncRNA from 1 species
CCUUCUUUAACUUAUCACUUUCGAGUGUGGCGUUCACCUAUACCGUAGAUUCCUAUCUCCCUAGAUAGCGGGUCUUGGUCCUAUCCAGCUAUCCAUUCUCCACCUUAAGACUUAUACGAAUUGGGUCCUAAUCACUAUUACAAGUUUGUUCAUGUUUUAAGAUCAUUAUAUCCAUCUUCCAUCAGUUUUUAACUUUGUUUAUCCGCUACCAAAAAACUAUUUUUU